GCUGGGCGCGGUGGUGCACGCCUGUAAUCCCAGAGGCUUGGGAGGCUGAGAUGCGAGGAUCGUGAGUUCAAAGCCAGCCUCGGCAACUUAGCGAGGCACUAAGGAACUCAGUGAGACCCUGUCUCUA
rnacentral:sRNA from 1 species